GAUGAACGCUGGCGGCGUGCCUAAUACAUGCCAGUCGAGCGAACGGACGAGAAGCUUGCUUCUCUGAUGUUAGCGGCGGACGGGUGAGUAACACGUGGAUAACCUACCUAUAAGACUGGGAUAACUUCGGGAAACCGGAGCUAAUACCGGAUAAUAUUUUGAACCGCAUGGUUCAAAAGUGAAAGACGGUCUUGCUGUCACUUAUAGAUGGAUCCGCGCUGCAUUAGCUAGUUGGUAAGGUAACGGCUUACCAAGGCAACGAUGCAUAGCCGACCUGAGAGGGUGAUCGGGCACACUGGAACUGAGAAACGGUCCAGACUCCUACGGGAGGAAGCAGUAGGGAAUCUUCCGCAAUGGGCGAAAGCCUGACGGAGCAACGCCGCGUGAGUGAUGAAGGUCUUCGGAUCGUAAAACUCUGUUAUUAGGGAAGAACAUAUGUGUAAGUAACUGUGCACAUCUUGACGGUACCUAAUCAGAAAGCCACGGCUAACUACGUG
rnacentral:rRNA from 1 species